AUGAGAGACCUUCUUAAGUAUUGCAAAAGAAGGGGCCUGGUGAUAGAGCUGGGCGGGGAGGCGAUACUAGUUAUCAGGUCAGAGAGAGGCCUGGCCCGUAAGCUGGCCCCCUUUAAAAGCCAUUCCUUAUUAAUAAGGAUUUGUUACGCGCAAUAUGCCGACGACUUACUACUGGGAAUCGUGGGUGCCGUAUUUCUUCUCAUAGAAAUACAAAAACGUAUCACCCACUUCCUACAAUCCGGUCUGAACCUUUGGGUAGGCUCCGCAGGAUCAACAACCAUAGCUGCACGGAGUACGGUAGAAUUCCCCGAUAUGGUCAUUCGGGAAGUCCCCCCGAGGACGACUCCCAUACAAUUCUUGCGAGAGCUGGAGAAGCGUCUACGGGUAAAGCACCGUAUCCAUAUAACUGCCUGCCACCUACGCUCCGCCAUCCAUUCCAAGUUUAGGGACCUAGGUUAUAGUAUCCCUAUCAAAGAGCUUACGAAGGGGAUGAGCGGAAGAGGUCGUCUACUGGACGCAGUUCAACUAGUGGAGACUCUUGGAAAAGAUGGACUAAAAAGUCCCCAAGUUAGCGUAUUAUGGGGGACCGUCAAGCACAUCCGGCAAAGAUCGAGGGGGAUCUCGUUGUUGCAUAGCUCAGGUCAGAGCAAGGUGCCAUCAGGCGUUCAACAGGCAGUCUCACGAUCGGGCAUGAGUGUCCUGAAGAAGAAAUUGUAUACUCCCUUUGGUCGGAAGGCGGCGGGGGAAGGAAGGGGACACUAG
rnacentral:rRNA from 1 species